AAAACAAAGCAGGUUCUGAGGUUCACUCUUGGUUGCACCCACCCCAUAGAAGAUGGAAUCAUAGAUGCUGCCAAUUUUGAGCAGUUUUUGCAAGAAAGGAUCAAAGUGAACGGAAAAGUUGGGAACCUUGGUGGAGGGGUGGUGACCAUCGAAAAGAGCAAGAGCAAGAUCACCGUGACAUCCAAGGUACCUUUUUCCAAAAGGUAUUUGAUAUAUCUCACUAAAAAAUAUUUGAAGAAGAAUAAUCUUCAUGAUUGGUUGUGCAUAGUUGCUAACAGUAAAGAGAGUUACAAAUUAUGUUACUUCCAAAUUAACCAGGAUGAAGAAGAGGAGGAAGAC
rnacentral:lncRNA from 1 species